UAAAGCUAGCCCAAACAAAACAAAACACAACUACAUAAACCAACUUUAAAAUAAAACAUUUAUAAAUUAAAGUAUAGGAGAUAGAAAUUUUAAAUAGGCGCUAUAGAGAAAGUACCGCAAGGGAACGAGUGAAAGAAUAAAUUAUAAGUGAUAAAUAGCAAAGAUUAACCCUUUUACCUUUUGCAUAAUGAGUUAACUAGUAAACUUUAGCAAAGAGAACUUAAGUUAAAUACCCCGAAACCAGACGAGCUACCCAUGAGCAGCUUAACAGAGCAAACUCGUCUAUGUGGCAAAAUAGUGAGAAGACUUGUGGGUAGAGGUGAAAAGCCUACCGAGCCUGGUGAUAGCUGGUUGUCCAGAAAAGAAUAUAAGUUCAACUUUAAUUCCUACUGACAAAAAACAAAAUUAUAAUGUAGAAUUAAAUGUUAGUCUUUAGAGGUACAGCCCUUAAGACAAAGGAUACAACCUUAUAUUGGAGAGUAAGAAUAUUAAAAUUACCAUAGUUGGCCUAAAAGCAGCCAUCAAUUAAGAAAGCGUUCAAGCUCAACAUUACUAAAAAUUUUAAUUCCUAUAAUAAAACAAUCUCCCAAUGAAAAUAACUGGACUAAUCUAUAAAACUAUAGAAGAAAUACUGUUAAUAUGAGUAACAAGAAUAAUUUCUCCCUGCACAAGCCUAUAUCAGAUCGGAUAACCACUGAUAGUUAACAACAAAAUAAUAAUAAUCAUAAAUAAAAAACUUAUUAAAUUUAUUGUUGACCCAACACCGGUGUGCACACUUAUUAAGGGAAAGAUUAAAAGAAGUAAAAGGAACUCGGCAAA
rnacentral:rRNA from 1 species